AAGUCGUAACAAGGUUUCCGUAGGUGAACCUGCGGAAGGAUCAUUAAUACGUCUAAACAACGUUUUAAACCUUACAAAUUUGUGGAAAUUCUUACCUUCCGGGUGCAUUUUUAUUGGCAUGAGAAGGGACUUCUUGUAAUGAGACACUUCAGUGUAGAGCAGUGAGGUGAAAUCUGAGCUUUUGAUGGCUUGGAUUUGGUUCUGGAUCACGACUUCUGAGUUAAAGUGCCAAAUGCAUUCGGUUAUUUCUGUUCUACAUUUUAUUCUAUCAAACUUAUAAACCCCAUGUACAACAACUUGAACUAAAUAUCUCUUCUAACUCUUAACAACGGAUAUCUUGGUUCUC
rnacentral:misc_RNA from 1 species